UACGUAGGGUGCGAGCGUUGUCCGGAAUUAUUGGGCGUAAAGGGCUCGUAGGCGGUCUGUCACGUCGGGAGUGAAAACUCGGGGCUUAACCCCGAGCCUGCUUCCGAUACGGGCAGACUAGAGGUAUGCAGGGGAGAACGGAAUUCCUGGUGUAGCGGUGAAAUGCGUAGAGAUCGGUAGGAACACCAGUGGCGAAGGCGGUCUCCUGGGGCAUUCUUGACGCUGAUGCGCGAAAGCUGGGGAGCGGAACGGG
rnacentral:rRNA from 1 species